UUGAGAACAAAACAAAACUGAAAAAAAUGAAAGCAAACUAAAAUAAAGGACAUAUUUGCAAAAGGCGCAUAAUCUGAAGGGUCAAAAAGGGAAUUAAUCCCGCCCUUCCUAAACGCUGCGCAGCAUUGAACUAAAUCGUAAUACGGGCAAAAUAUUCGGGUCAAAUUAAAAAUAACGAAUUUGAUUAAAACGCGUCGCAAAAAGGAGGGGCUAGUAUUGCAAAUCUCCCAUUUAAGGUUGAUAUGCGCAGACCCCACCCCAAAAACCAAAUGGCGCCUGCUUUGUCCAUCUUUUAGGUUUUAAAGGAAAAGAAAGAAAAUUAAACAAAAGAACAUUUAUUUGUUCUUUUGGGUUUCCCUUUCUAGAGGAGAAACCAGACCCUUUUAGGGUUUCCUCAACCCUCAUACGCCGCCGCUCAGCCUCGCGCCAAGGCUCCGAUUGCGACAGAGAUGGCGCCAACUCGAUGAAUCUGGCGAGAGAGGUAAGUCCUUCCUCCAUUCUUUAUAUUUUAAAUUACGAAUAAAUAAAAAAUAAAAUAAAAAAGAAUGGAAAAAAUGAAAAAAUAAACACGAUUUACCUUUAAAAAAACCCUUUGUAAUCUCAGUAUUUUCUCUCUAUUUUCGUAUUUUUUUUACACUGAAACAGAUUUCUUCUAUGGCCUUAAAUAGCCGAAAAUAAUAACAAAAAAUAUAAAAAAAAGAAAUCCCCUCUUUUUCAUUAUUUUGCUGUUGUCGUUGGUUGUUUGUUGCUGCAGGUAUGACCAGUCAACGUGGAGGCGAACGUGCGCGACGUGCGCGGGGUUGCUGUUGGGAUGUGCGGCAGCUGCAGGCAAAUGCUGUUUGGGUUUUUGAAAUUUUAAUGUUUGAGCUAGGUUAAUUUAGGUUUUGGGCUGUUAAUUGGGCCUGUUUAUUGGUUUGGGCGCGGGCAUAUUAUAUUCGGGCCGGGCCGGGCCAGGCCCGGGCCAAAAAAGUGCUGCCCGAGGCCCUGCCCAUUUUCUAAACGGGUCUCCUUUUUUUGCCCAAACCAUAUUUCGAGCCUAUAUUUUUAUCCGAACCCUCCCAUAUUUCGGGCGGGCCGUCAGGCCGGACCGAACCGCCCAGCCCAUGAGUACCUCUACUCCAACUCCACUCAAUUUAGUGAGGCCCAUCAAUUAUAAUGAUUACUCAAACAUACCACCUUAUGUAAUUACAAACAAAU
rnacentral:lncRNA from 1 species